rnacentral:rRNA from 1 species
GAGUUUGAUCCUGGCUCAGAUUGAACGCUGGCGGCAUGCCUUACACAUGCAAGUCGAACGGCAGCACGGGAGCUUGCUCCUGGUGGCGAGUGGCGAACGGGUGAGUAAUGCAUCGGAACGUAUCCUGGAGUGGGGGAUAACGUAGCGAAAGUUACGCUAAUACCGCGUAUUCUGUGAGCAGGAAAGCGGGGGACCUUCGGGCCUCGCGCUCUUGGAGCGGCCGAUGUCGGAUUAGCUAGUUGGUGAGGUAAAGGCUCACCAAGGCGACGAUCCGUAGCAGGUCUGAGAGGAUGAUCUGCCACACUGGAACUGAGACACGGUCCAGACUCCUACGGGAGGCAGCAGUGGGGAAUUUUGGACAAUGGGGGCAACCCUGAUCCAGCCAUGCCGCGUGAGUGAAGAAGGCC